rnacentral:rRNA from 1 species
GACGAACGCUGGCGGCGUGCCUAACACAUGCAAGUCGAGCGGAGUCGAUCGACGGAAGCCUUCGGGCGGAAGAUGGUUGACUUAGCGGCGGAUGGGUGAGUAACGCGUGGGCAACCUGCCUCGAAGACCGGGAUAACAGCCCGAAAGGGCUGCUAAUACCGGAUGUGGUCAAGGAUCCGCAUGGAUUUUUGAUUAAAGGGGAAACCCGUUUCGAGAUGGGCCCGCGUCCUAUCAGCUAGUUGGUGAGGUAAAAGCUCACCAAGGCGACGACGGGUAGCCGGCCUGAGAGGGUGACCGGCCACACUGGGACUGAGACACGGCCCAGACUCCUACGGGAGGCAGCAGUUGGGAAUCUUAGGCAAUGGACGAAAGUCUGACCUAGCGACGCCGCGUGAGGGAAGAAGGCCUUCGGGUUGUAAACCUCUGUCAUGGGGGAAGAAGUAAGUGACGGUACCCCAAGAGGAAGCCCCUGCUAACUACGUG